rnacentral:rRNA from 1 species
CUACGGGAUGCAGCAGUGGGGAAUAUUGCACAAUGGAGGAAACUCUGAUGCAGCAACGCCGCGUGGAGGAUGACACUUUUCGGAGCGUAAACUCCUUUUAUAUAAGAAGAAGAUGACGGUACUAUAUGAAUAAGCGCCGGCUAACUCCGUGCCAGCAGCCGCGGUAAUACGGAGGGCGCAAGCGUUACUCGGAAUCACUGGGCGUAAAGAGCGUGUAGGCGGAUUAAAAAGUCAGAAGUGAAGUCCUAUAGCUUAACUAUAGAACUGCUUCUGAAACUCUUAAUCUAGAAUAUGGGAGAGGUAGAUGGAAUUUCUGGUGUAGGGGUAAAAUCCGUAGAGAUCAGAAGGAAUACCGAUUGCGAAGGCGAUCUACUAGAACAUUAUUGACGCUGAGACGCGAAAGCGUGGGGAGCAAACAGGAUUAGAUACCCCUGUAGUC